rnacentral:tRNA from 1 species
UCCUCCUUAGCUCAGUUGGUAGAGCGACGGACUGUUAAUCCGCAGGUCGCUGGUUCGAGCCCAGCAGGAGGA